GAAGACUUGGGAGCAGAUUAAUUGAUCGUUGAGGAUUCAUGGAAGAGACAAUUUGAAGGAGCUUGAAAGCUCUUUUAUAUGCUGUCUGAAGUGCAUCUGCUUGAUUGCUUGUAGGCUUUCUUAUAAUAGCAUUCUGCUAUUGAUCUUCAAACUUUAUCCGUGGCUGGAGAGAUCGGUAGGGCACGUGGAACCCUAGAAAGAAUCCCAUAAUAACUAUUGGAAGCCCGGAGAGAUUCCGAGUUGAAGAAAAAGUCUACUGGAGAAAUGAACAAUUGAAUGGCCACAAAACUACUCAGAUGUCAAAAGGGAAUGCUGAAGAUGACAGCUAUUAGAGUUAUCAUGAUCUGGAUUAUCUGCAGGGAAUAGCAAUGGUGAUGAGAGCCUAUUUGUACUCUGUGAAAGGGAAGAUAACUUGAUGAGCUAUACAACAACAACAACAAUCCAGUAGAAUUCCACAACGUGGGGUCUGGGGAGGGUAAAGUGUACGUAGAUCUUACUCCUACCAAGGUAGGACGACUGUUUCCGAGAGACCCUCAGCUCAAUAGAAGCAUAAAAAGAGGUCAGAUAAGGCUAAGAAGUUCAAAGCGAUAUGAAAAAGCAAAUAACGAAAGCGACACAGAUAAAAUUGUCGCUAUAAGUUUAAUAAUAUUUUAUAUUAUCCAAUUUUGCUAACAACAAAAAAAAAACUAACAAUAUUGGAAACUUGUCGAAAAAAUCUUAAUUAUAACUAGUCUUUAAGUAAAUAUAUAUGUGUAAUGUAUGAAUAUAAUCACCUUAUAUAUGUCAAUAAUGGAACGAAACUUUGUUCUCCUUGGUAUUCCUUGCUUCAAGUGGUCGUAGUUUUCAUCUUUUUCAAUUCUUAUGGAAACUUCUGAACCACUAUCAAUGCUAUUGUUCAUUAGAGUAUCAUAUGUAUUAUUUGGGAGACUGUCUUUAUUUGUGACAGUGUUAAGCUCAUACUUGCCUGAAAAUCAUACAUUGUAAAAUUGAAAAAAAAUAAUUAAUUCUCUUGUGAACAAUUUUUUUUUAAUAAAAGUCAAGUAUAAGAUGUACCAUGAGUAACAUUUUGCUUUUGUUUGUUCGAGAAUGUUUUCUUGGAAGAGCCCUCUUGAUAUUUGUCUUUUAUGUGCUUUUUGGCAUCCUUCUUCUUUUUCUUUUGUGAUUUGAUCAUA